GUUUCCGUGGCGUAGUUGGUUAUCGCGUCAGAUUUACACUCUGAAGGUCUCCGGUUCGAACCCGGACGGGAACA